UUUAAGAAUACUAAGAGGUAUUAUCUUCUUUCUUAGCUUCUAUACAUGUUUAAAUUCCUGUGAUUGAGUUCACUAAAUAGAAAACAGGAACAUGUACACCCCAUUCUAAAUGACUGAGAAAGAAAUGGAUAAACAAGACCAUAUUUAGCAAAGCAUUUUAAUUUGGGGAAGAAACUGAACAAAGAAAAGAAAAAGAACAUUAAUAAUGCUGAACUUCAGUGAACUACAUUUAUUAGCAUCCAUGUUGUUCUCCCAGUUAAUAUAGAGAUAUCUUGUAUUAUACAGAAUAACUGUCACCCAUGUUUCCAUUUAUGACAACAUUCUGAAAAUAUUCCGAUUUGCUCAAAGCAGAGAUCAUCGAUGCCAGCUGAUUGAGUGCACUAACCUUCCCAGAUCUAUACAUGUGCAUGCUUGUAUAUGUAUAAAUGUAUACAGUGGUCACACCUCUGAGACUUUUUGGCUGCUGGUCAUCAACGACUCUUGGUCAGAACACAUCCUGACAAGACAGUUAAACAUAAACAAAGAGCUCUGUAACAAGUGCAACAAGAAGAGCAUCAUUUUUUUGUGAGCACACUUUGAUACUCCGUGGAGAAAUGCAUUGCCCCCAGGAUGAAACAAGGUUAAAUAAAUCACAAGCACCAUUCUACUGGAGUCAAGGUUACAGCAAAGAAAGAAGGAGUUGGUGAAGAUUGAGGAUGUAGACAGCUGCCUAUCCCACUUCUUCUGAAGGUGCCGAACAAUAGACGCUACAGGUGGGCGACCCAAAGAAUACACAUGGAGAAAAAAGAAGAGAACAACAUGGCCUUGCUCAUCAAGAUUACAAUCCUGUAUCACAUGUCCGUGAUUCCUGAGGAGCUGUUAUUCUGAG
rnacentral:lncRNA from 1 species